GUGGCAUAAUUUGACUCAACGCGGGAAAUCUUACCGGGUCCGGACACACUGAGGAUUGACAGGUAACAUCUCUCUAAUCCACAUAUUGUGUAUUGAGAGUAUAAAUAUGCUAGUCCUUUCAUGAUUAUGUGAUAGGUGGUGCAUGGCCGUUCUUAGUUCGUGGAGUGAUCUGUCUGCUUAAUUGCGUUUCACUAUUGGGUCUAUUUAUACGUAUAUGUGUACUUUUUGCAUACUUAUACUUUGACCCCUCACUCCGGUGAGUGCGCGUCUUAUGUAUAUAUUUUGCAUGCACUAUACAUUAGACCCUGAAAGCAACGAACGUGACCGCAACCUCUUGUUGCUUUCAUACCCAAAUAUCACUAUACAUUCUCUCUCUCACGAGUUGUAGUGUAUAUGAUAUAAGAAAGCCUCGUAUAUAUGCCAUAUAUUCGUAUGUAAUUAUCUGAUAACCUCCGGGUUGAUGAUAUUAUUUUACACCUUAUGCGCGUAUAUAAAACUAGAGGGACCGCUGUUAUCUUCUUAAACCAGAGGAAGGUUGCGGCAAUAACAGGUCUGUGAUGCCCUUAGAUGUUCCGGGCUGCACACGUGCUUCAAUGAUUAUUGCAGUGAGCAUCUCAUUUUUUAUUACACAUCGCAUGCGCGAGUUAUUCUCACAUCUUUUAUCUCUCACGGGAUAUAUUGUAUGUGUGUGACAAUCUCUGCGCGCGAUUAAGCCUACUUCGACAGUAAGCGGGUAAUCAAUUAGAAGUAAUGAUUUCCUAUUUUUCCUGCACAAUUAUAUAUGGCAUAUAUACCCGGCAUACCUUGUUGUAUGUUAUUGUGCGUAUAUAUGUAAUAUCAUACACUUUUAGUGUAUAUAUUUAACCAUAUGUGCAAUUGUCAAUUCAUGGUGGGGACAGACCAUUGUUUCAAUUGUUGGUCUCGGUCUUAACUAGGAAUGCCUUGUACGGGUCUUUGGUUCAACAAACCACCCGGAAUACGUCCCUGCCCUUUGUACACACCGCCCGUCGCUCUUACCGAUGGACUUCUCUGUGAGUUUGAGGGACUGUCCGAUUCACUAUAUGUCUCGACAUAUGCGUGAUAUCACUAGGAAACUUAAACGAACAGUGUGGUCUAAAGGAAAGAGAGGUCGUAACAAGGCAUCAGUAGGUGAACCUGCAGAAGGAUCA
rnacentral:rRNA from 1 species